CACGUAGGGUGCAAGCGUUGUCCGGAAUUAUUGGGCGUAAAGGGCUCGUAGGCGGUCCGUCACGUCGGGAGUGAAAACUCGGGGCUUAACCCCGAGCCUGCUUUCGAUACGGGCGGACUAGAGGUAGGUAGGGGAGAACGGAAUUCCUGGUGUAGCGGUGGAAUGCGCAGAUAUCAGGAGGAACACCGGUGGCGAAGGCGGGUCUCUGGGCCGAUACUGACGCUGAGGAGCGAAAGCGUGGGGAGCGAACAGG
rnacentral:rRNA from 1 species